GUUCCUGUAGCGCAAUGAAUCGUGUGUGUGCGUUGGACUUCUAAUCCAAAGGUCGUGGGUUCGAAUCCCACCUGAAAUG